UGGGUUGUGGCUCAGUGGUAGAGCACUUGCCUCACAAGUGUGAGGUGCUAAGUUCAAUCCUCAGUACCACAU
rnacentral:tRNA from 1 species